rnacentral:rRNA from 1 species
GUACAUGUACGGAAUCCUUUAGAGAUAGAGGAGUGCUCGAAAGAGAGCCGUAACACAGGUGCUGCAUGGCUGUCGUCAGCUCGUGUCGUGAGAUGUUGGGUUAAGUCCCGCAACGAGCGCAACCCUUGUCAUUAGUUGCUACAUUCAGUUGGGCACUCUAAUGAGACUGCCGGUGACAAACCGGAGGAAGGUGGGGAUGACGUCAAGUCCUCAUGGCCCUUAUAGGUGGGGCUACACACGUCAUACAAUGGAUGGUACAAAGGGUCGCCAACCCGCGAGGGGGAGCCAAUCCCAUAAAGCCAUUCGUAGUCCGGAUCGCAGUCUGCAACUCGACUGCGUGAAGUCGGAAUCGCUAGUAAUCGUGGAUCAGAAUGUCACGGUGAAUACGUUCCCGGGUCUU